UACGAAGGGGGCUAGCGUUGCUCGGAAUUACUGGGCGUAAAGGGCGCGUAGGCGGCGGACAUAGUCAGGCGUGAAAUUCCUGGGCUUAACCUGGGGGCUGCGCUUGAUACGUGUUUGCUAGAGGAUGGAAGAGGGUCGUGGAAUUCCCAGUGUAGAGGUGAAAUUCGUAGAUAUUGGGAAGAACACCGGUGGCGAAGGCGGCGACCUGGUCCAUUUCUGACGCUGAGGCG
rnacentral:rRNA from 1 species